rnacentral:rRNA from 1 species
CCUACGGGUGGCAGCAGUGAGGAAUAUUGGUCAAUGGUCGGAAGUCUGAACCAGCCAUGCCGCGUGCGGGAAGACGGCCCUAUGAGUUGUAAACUGCUUUUGUACAAGGGUAAACCUGAAUACGUGUAUUCAGCUGAAUGUACUGUACGAAUAAGGAUCGGCUAACUCCGUUCCAGCAGCCGCGGUAAUACGGAGGAUCCAAGCGUUAUCCGGAUUUAGUGGGUUUAAAGGGUGCGUAGGCGGAUUGAUAAGUUAGAGGUGAAAUGUCCGAGCUUAACUCGGGAACUGCCUUUAAUACUGGUAAUCUAGAGAGUGGGAGAGGGAGGUGGAAUGUAUGGUGUAGCGGUGAAAUGCGGAGAGAUCAGACAGAACACCGAUUGCGAAGGCAGCUUACCGGUCCAUAUCUGACGUUGAGGCACGAAAGCGUGGGGAGCAAACAGGAUUAGAUACCCGGGUAGUC